rnacentral:rRNA from 1 species
AUACGGAGGGUGCGAGCGUUAAUCGGAAUUACUGGGCGUAAAGCGUACGUAGGCGGUUCGUUAAGUUAGAUGUGAAAGCCCCGGGCUUAACCUGUGAACUGCAUUUAAAACUGGCGAACUAGAGUUGAGUAGAGGGGAGUGGAAUUUCAGGUGUAGCGGUGAAAUGCGUAGAGAUCUGAAGGAACACCAGUGGCGAAGGCGACUCCCUGGACUCGAACUGACGCUGAGGUACGAAAGCGUGGGUAGCAAACGGGAUUAGAAACCCGAGUAGUCC